rnacentral:lncRNA from 1 species
AUGGUUGUUGAACUUCUCUCUUCUCAUUUGGAUCCUCCGCGACAGAGUUCUCCAUUGCGGAUCUCAUCUCAAGUUGAGCACCAAUUUGCUUUCAUUCGCGAUUCGUAUUUCAUUUUCAAACAAGACAAAGAAUCACAAAGGCGAGUAAAAGAAUUAUACCUAUUGAAGAAUCCCGGUGGUUCUUCAACAAUGAUGCCGAUGUCGAGAAACAAAACUCCGCGAGAGGGAAAUCAGGUAUGCAGAGCUGAUUUUGUUUGGUAUAGCUGGGUGAAGAUUUCGAACCACAAUUUGAUGUCGCGGUAG